rnacentral:lncRNA from 1 species
CACUCUAAAAAAUUAUCCUUUUUUUUACACAAAUUCGACUGAUGCAUUAAUUAGGGAAAAUUUUAAAAAUUACAAAUUCCUAAAAAAUUAUUAUGCCUCCUAAUUCUACCAUUUGUCACUAAACCAGUGCAUGCUAUGGGCGGUGCCUCGAUGCUGCAAUUUCCUAAGGCUUAAAAACAUGCGCCUAAACUCUGUAGAAGAAACAAACAGUCAUUUUCCUAAGGGAACUAAAAAAAUGAAACCCUAAAUUCUUAACUUUCCUUUAUCCUUCUUCUUUGUUAUUCCUCAGAUAGUGUGCGUGAGUCAUUUUUUUCCCCCAGUUCCUCGGAGAUCCUGUAACAAAUCCUCUUUCUUCUCCGGACUCAACCUAUCAAAACAUCAUCUCUACCUCCUCUAACUUCUUCCCAUUUGGUCCUUUAGAACAAUGGGUUCAACCUCCGGCGGAGUUUCUUCCAUCCUCUCCCCCAUGUAGCCACCGAAAAAUUUUAUGUUUUUCUAUAGCCAACUACAUGUAUGAAAUUGAAUAAGAAUACAAUAAAUUUUUAAAAAAAUCACCUCUUCAAGUUGAAUUGGAAUAGGAAAUUGGUGUUAUUCAAAGUUUCUUUUAAAAAUUCUUAUAAAAUUUAUUAAAAUUUUUAAAUCUUUGCUGAUUGUGCAUUUGCUCGAUUGAUAUGAAAAUUAUUGCCAACGCAGGUGGACGUGAGUUCGAGUGCGUUAAAGCGUAUUAUCUUCUUAUUUAUGAAAAUUCUGAAAUCCAAACAAAUAUAAUAAUGGUAAGGCACGUUGCACUCCGAAUGGGAGAACUCAAGUGCAAAUCUUGGAGACAACAUUGUUGGGAAGGCAACCACAAACCUCGAACAUGGAUUAUAAAACAUACAUGAAAAAUUUAAUGAAAAAGUCUUUGUUAACGCAUUUCAGAUUUUCUAAUCUUACAUGCGCGAAGUCUUGUUGAGUAAAUGAUUUUAUUCAACAACCAUUUGAAUCAUCUAUUGACUUAAGCUCAAUCUAUUAUUACACAAAGAAAUAAUUGUAGCCUAUCACUCAAUGAAUGAUUUUAUAGCUUCAAUAUUAAUCACGAUUGUUACAAUCACCCUCCCCAAACUCCUCGCAUUACAUAUAAUAUCUCUUCAUAAAAAUCCCUAAAUUGAGAGUUGUAAUUGGGGACAGAUUUUUUUUCAGGCCAAUUUUUUAAAAAUAUAUCAGAUGUCUUCUGACACAUAGAAGAUACCAAUAAAAAUAUAUUUUUUUCCUUUCAUUUUUUUUCUUUCGGGGCAAUUUAAAAAAUUUAUUGGUAAAAAUUAUUUUUUUUAUUUUCUCACAAUUUUAUACUUAUAUUUUUAUUGGUAUUUUAUAAAUAUAUACUGGUGCUACUUGACAUAGUUAUGACGCCAAUAAUUUUUUUAAAAAAAAAUAAAUUAAAUAAAGAAGAUGAUAAUACUGUCGGUGUGUCAGACAACAUUAACGAGAAUUGUAACAAACAACCCAUUUCUUUAAAUAAUUUCUCCCCUAACCUAAUUUAGUAAUUAAUUAAUUUUUAUAUUAUUUUUAUAAAAAUAUACACACGAGAAUCCACCAAAAUUUAAGCUUCUCUUCUCCCUUUUCAAGACUGUUCGAUUGAAUAAUAUAUUUUAAUGUUGGAUUGAAUAAUGAUGAUAUUCUAAUUUACUACGAAAAUUUACUUAUAUUUUUUAUUAAAAAUAUUAAAAAUAUAAGUAAUUAAAAGUCAAAUAUGUCAGUCAGUGACCUUGACUACAUCAAAACCAUGGCUAUAUCAUCUGCUCGAACAUGCAACAGUAUCAUAACUUAAAAAAAAACUAAAAGUGUUUUAAAUUAUAAUAUCAUUACCUUUGGUAUUAAAAUGUCAAACUCAGAUACCAAAUUAUGUAUUAAGCCUUGCUAAUACAAUUUAUAUGGAUUUGAAACAUUGGUAAGAAAUUUUGAUAUUUAAAAAAUAUUGAGAAAAAAGAGAGAAUAAUUUUACCUUUAAAUGGGUUUGAAUCAAUGCCAAUUUAUUAAUUAAAUAUAAACAAUUUUACAAAAUAUUUUUAGAGAAAACAAUGAAAUAAGUUUUCUAAUUUUUCAUAUAUUUUUAUUUUAACCAAAUAUAUAUUUUUAAUGUUUCCAUUUUUCAAAAAAUUGGUGAAAUCAAAUGAAGGUCAUAACUUUUUUAUUUAGUUUUUAGUAAUAAGUUUGGAUUAAAAAUGGUUUGGUUGUGGGGGAUGGGAUAAGGUUUUGAAAAGUCUAUUUUUUGUGUGCAAAGUGAUAGAUGACGACCAAAAAGAAAUCCUAUUCCAUCUUUAACACCACAAUCGACCUUACCAAAUUAUUGCUACAAAUUACUAUCUUAUUGGUUGUAGAAAAGCACAUACAACUCCACUUCAUCAAAGUUUAAAUCUGGAUGAUAAAAAGAUGGUAAAGCCUACUUGGUUGGGCUUGAAUCUGGAUGAUAAAAAGAUGGUAAAAGGGCAACAUAAAAGCCCCAAGGGAUUUAGCCCAUUGAACCCAUUUAGCUCAAUGGAUAACUUAAAAACCGACCACCUUUACACUUGUCUUGAGUGGAAAUGUGAUUGAUUUGAUUGAACAUAAAAAGAAAAGAGGUUGUGGCCACCAUUAACAAGUAUUCAACAGUUAUCUUACAAAUGAAUAUGAUAGAUGAUGUCGAACCAAGAAUACAAUGUACCUAAAGUUUGGCAUUCCGCAAAAGGAUGCUAGCAUAUGAUCGGGUAGCUCUUUCUCUUCUUUUUCACUGCAGGGUUACGUACUCGGUAAUUUUGAGUAGGUUUGAUAAAUGCAAUGAUAUCAAUAUUUAUACAGAUACGAAUAUAUAUGUAUUAUGAAAUGUAUAAAAGAAAAACACAAUGAAAUUAAUAAUUGAAGAAUUUGUCAUUUGAUGAAUGUCUCCCAUCUGCUUUUAUAUUUCAAGAACAAAAUGAAGGUCACAUACACAUGGUAACGAGGAUGAAGAAUGAGAUUUUUGGUCCGACAAGUUAAAGGUGGAGAAAUG